ACUCCUACGGAGGCAGCAGUGGGGAAUAUUGCACAAUGGGCGCAAGCCUGAUGCAGCCAUGCCGCGUGUAUGAAGAAGGCCUUCGGGUUGUAAAGUACUUUCAGCAGUGAGGAAGGUGGGUAUGUUAAUAGCAUACUCAUUUGACGUUAGCUGCAGAAGAAGCACCGGCUAACUCCGUGCCAGCAGCCGCGGUAAUACGGAGGGUGCGAGCGUUAAUCGGAAUUACUGGGCGUAAAGCGCAUGCAGGUGGUUUGUUAAGUCAGAUGUGAAAGCCCGGGGCUCAACCUCGGAAUUGCAUUUGAAACUGGCAAACUAGAGUACUGUAGAGGGGGGUAGAAUUUCAGGUGUAGCGGUGAAAUGCGUAGAGAUCUGAAGGAAUACCGGUGGCGAAGGCGGCCCCCUGGACAGAUACUGACACUCAGAUGCGAAAGCGUGGGGAGCAAACAGGAUUAGAUACCCUGGUAGGCUCU
rnacentral:rRNA from 1 species